rnacentral:rRNA from 1 species
AGAAUCAACGCUGGCGGCGUGCCUAACACAUGCAAGUCGAACGAGAAAGUGGAGCAAUCCAUGAGUAAAGUGGCGCACGGGUGAGUAACACGUGACUAACCUACCCUUGAGUGGGGGGAUAACCUCGGGAAACCGGGGCUAAUACCGCAUAAUAUCGAGAGAUCAAAGGAGCAAUUCGCUUAAGGAGGGGGUCGCGGCUGAUUAGCUAGUUGGUAGGGUAAUGGCCUACCAAGGCUAUGAUCAGUAUCCGGCCUGAGAGGGCGCACGGACACACUGGAACUGAAACACGGUCCAGACUCCUACGGGAGGCAGCAGUGGGGAAUUUUGCGCAAUGGGGGAAACCCUGACGCAGCAACGCCGCGUGGAGGAUGAAGUCCCUUGGGACGUAAACUCCUUUCGAUCGGGACGAUAAUGACGGUACCGGAAGAAGAAGCCCGGCUAACUUCGCGCCAGCAGCCGC